CCGCAUGUCCCUUGCGUUGGUGUCCAUCUUGCGAUGGAUGAAAAGGGAAUGCGUCAGCGGGACAACCGUCAAACGCAGCCGCCCCCGCGACCGUGACCGGAGAGGGUGCCCAAAGCCACUGGCCUGACAGGCCGGGAAGGCGGGACAUCUGCCAGAGGACCGCCUCUGACAUCCGCAAGCCGGGAGACCUGCCAACACCCGAAGAUGAAA
rnacentral:ncRNA from 1 species